CUCCCUCACGCUGAUCGGUGCGUGCUCUGCGAUCAAGCCACCAAGACGAUGCAGCACCUCCUCAUCGCUUGCCCAUUCUCGCAUGGUGCUUGGCAUGACAUCCUCUCCUCCUGCUGGCUAACAACGACGGCGCCGACCGGUGACGGAGACUUCCUCGAGUGGUGGGCAGCCUCCAUGGCCUCGACUCCUUCCAGCCUUCGAAAAGGCCUUGCCUCUCUCAUCCUUCUCAAUGCAUGGAGCAUCUGGAAACACCGCAAUGCAUGCAUCUUUGAUGGCGAGCAUGUUGGGGAAUGUUAG
rnacentral:rRNA from 1 species